UCUCUUAUCUCUUAUCUCUUUGGCGAAGAGUGGUUAUGUUAGGGAGUGUGCGGGAAUUACAAGAAGUACCGUCUCUGAAGCUGAAGGGGGUGCGCGUGAACAAAGGUUUUGCAAAAAAAAAGCCGAUCGAGCUCAUGGGUGCACCGUGUUCAUUUGGAUGCUGUUCAGAGUUGCAUGGCUUCUUCGAGUUUUGAGAUUGUUUGGCAAAGACUGAUCACGCUGGGGGAUUGUGUUGGGGGUGCGCGGCGUUCCAAAGUUUCAGGACGUUGAGGGAAAAACUGAUCUCGCUGGGGGUGCGCCAACGCCGUCUGGCUGUUGAAGGGGAAGUAUGACAACAACAACAACAAUAAAAGAAUCAUGAAAGACUGAUCCAGCUGGGGGUGCACCAACUCUGUUGGGGUCUUGAAGGGGGUGUGUGGGUUAAAAUGCCUUUUGGAAAGACUGAGGUGUUACAUGCGGGUGCG